CUGCCUUUAAUUGCUCAUUAGAUACCUUCUUCAGGGAAGCCUUCAACUCAACUCCGUAACCAAUGCAUUCCAUUUACCCAAUAUUUGCCCUUAUCUCACUCUGUAUUAGCAUAAUUCUCACGCUCGCAGUCCCCACUUCCCCAUCCACCUAGAUUGUAAAUUCCCAUGGGAUUAGGGCCCAUAAAUCCUGCUGUUUUUGUUUGUGAACCUUUUUG